CUUCACUAUAGCUUAGCAUUGAUACUGGGUAAAUGAUGUGUAGGAUAGGUGGGAGGCUGAGAGACGGCUACGCUAGUAGUUGUGGAGCCAACGUUGAAAUACCACCCUUUGUUUAUUUAGUGUCUAAUCCUGCGAGGGAGACAGUGCUUGGUGGGUAGUUUGACUGGGGCGGUCGCCUCCAAAAGAGUAACGGAGGCUUCCAAAGGUGCCCUCAGCACGCUUGGUAACCGUGCGUAGAGUGUAUUAGCAUAAGGGCGCUUGACUGCAAGACCGACAAGUCGAGCAGGUAGGAAACUAGGGUAAAGUGAUCCGGUGGUUCCGCAUGGAAGGGCCAUCGCUCAAAGGAUAAAAGGUA
rnacentral:rRNA from 1 species